rnacentral:rRNA from 1 species
GUCUACAGCCAUAUCAUCCCGAAUGUGCCGAAUCUCGUCUGAUCUCAGAAGCUAAGCAGGUUUGGACCUGGUUAGUACUUGGAUGGGAGACCACCUAGGAAGACCAGGUGCUGUAGGAG